AAUCCCAGGCUUUCCCUUCACUAACCCCUUAAACAAAACCCCCAAACACCUGGUCCCCAAAUAAACACUUCAAAGUAAAUAUAAUCUACCAUCCACUGCUAAAGAAAAAAAAAAUUGCAAAAACAAGGAUUAAAGAAGAUAAAAACAAAACCCAAAAAUAUGGAGAGUCGUUUAGUUAAUAGGGGUAUUCGAAUUCCAACAAAAAUUCAAUAUUUGCAGGUUUAUGCCGAAUCUGUCGCGGAAGAGGGGAACUUUGAAACUAUCUGAGAUGAUAAAAGUAUAUUACCGCCCUUAAAUAACAAAUGGGAAGUGCAACAAGUACUACAAAAAUCUGGAUGUUCAGAAAACGAUCACAGAAAACACAGACGAUUUUCAAGGUGGCACUUUAUAAUUCGUAAAUUCCCCAACUAAAACGAAAGACAGAUUUGAAAUUGACAAAUGAAAAUCGCAACCUAACAAAGAGGGGAAAAAAACCCUAGAAAAUGAUUGAAAAAAUAAAUAAGAUAAAAAAAAAGACCCUAUAGAAGGAAUACAAGAGAGGCGAUGAAAAGAGUCAGAUAAUCAAAAACCCAGGAGAGAAGAUGUCGGCAAAUCAGAAGAGGGAGCAGAUAGCAAAUGCGAAGAGGAAAGAUUGAGGGCAUUAAAUUAAAUAGAGUGGAAGGAGAGGGUUCGGAAUGAAUAUUAGGUUUUUUUGACGACAGAGAGAGUAGGGGGAGAGUUUGGUUUGGCUGAUGAGAAAAGAAGAUUGUGGAGGCGACAAAGAAAGGCUUGACGUUAAGAGAGUUGGGCAAUAGAGGGGUUUUUGAUUUUUGAAUUUCUUAAUUUAUUGAGAGAGAAUAGAUAGAAUCUGGGCAACACAGCGAGCGAGCGAGCGAGAGAAAAAGAGAGAGACAGACACAGAGAGAGAGAGAGAGAGAGAGAGAGGAGAGAGUGUACGCGAUUAAACAUUAUUUUAUAUAAAUAUUUUUUUAAUUUUCUGGGCUAAGCCUUGUUUGGUUAGUUGCUGGGAUAACCCUUGUUUCAUUUCCCAUUCUUCUUGCUAAAUCGAUUCAUUUUUGAGAUCAAGUCUGG
rnacentral:lncRNA from 1 species